ensembl:lncRNA
CGGUUAUUGCACUAGACAAGAUGAUAUCUUUUUCACGAAUGAAUGAGUGUGUGUGCAGUGUCUCUAUUUAUCCAGUUGGAGGCAGAACACGUCUGCUGUUCAGCUCCUUCAGCACCUUUUUAUUGUCACACCCACAGCCUGAAGAUUUCACACAUAAAUAUGCAUGACAAGACCACAGCACCGCAAGACAGCCUCAUGGUCUCAGAACAAGAGCAGAUAUUUCUCUGUCUUCUGUAGUGUAAGAAGUUAAUGCAUGAAGAGAAUGAGCAGACUAGAGGAAGCGAAGGGCCGAAUCACAGUGGUGGUGAAGGUUUAAAUGGUGGAUCUACUCUGAGAUGAAGAUUCAUAAAUACACAGUCAUCGUCAUCAUCUUUAGCCUUUUCUGUCCUAUCACAGGUGUUACUGUCACCGAGAGGUCUGUGCAGGAGGGCGAGACGUUCAUCUUCCAUCUGCCGAAUAUAGAGUCUGGCAGAUCAGUCGAAUGGAAACAGAUGAAUAAACUGCUGGCCAUCAUUAGCCUGGACAACAACACAGUAAUAUUUCAGCAGGGACGCAGACAUCAGUUCAUGCAGAAUGGGUCAGUCGUCAUCAGAGAUGUCAAACAGGAAGACACCGGCAACUACACUUACAAUAUCAUAUUCAAAGACAAAAAAAUUCAAAGCCACAUCCUCUCACUUACCCUGUACUCAGAAACUACAGAACAGAGCCCUACUUAUAACUCCACAUUCAUUACAUCAGUUCCUCCGGCUCUUAAUAAAGUGCAGAUCGUGAUUAUCAUCUCAUCACUCGGAAGUUUGCUUCUGCUUGGCGGUGUGAUAGUCAUCGUUUUAAAAUGCAGAAGGAAACGUCGGACUCAGGAGGAACCCAUUUACAGCAACAUAUAUUACAACACGAGGACAUGCAGAAAAAAGGUCACAGGUGACCAGAAGCAAACGAAAUCAUGAAAUUCAAUAAUUUUUCUUUAUACGUCUUUAUGACACUUAAAUGUUCAUAGCAUCUUGUAGGUUUGCAUGCAAGACCCGACCUGAAACAGAAACGUGUGCAUCUGUGGUUUUGGAGGCGGUUAUUUUAAGGGUCUGGUUCGUCUUUUGCAGUUGUCAGGAAAUUGUUUUACUUGCAUGUCUGCUGGGCACUGCAAACACAGCCCUCUUUUGUUCUCUUUUAUAUAUGUUGUAUCUACAAGAUGACUGUAUACUGGAUACUUUAAGACUUUCCAAAUGACUUUUUGUAAAGCAAAGACAAUCACACUUUAGAAUAGUAUGUACUUGUGGAUGUCUGUCUAUACUGUGAAAGAAAUAUGAAUCUUAUCUGUCUGAACUUAACCUAAUUUAGAGACUUUAAGGGUUCUUCAGGUGUCCCUCUGUGGGAAAGACAAAUACUGUAGAACCCUGCUUUGGAAGCACCCUAAAUUAUCCAAUGAACCUUUAAAGAACCCUUUGUUUUGUUUUUAAGAGUGUAUGUAGUAACUGUGUAAGUAUGUGGCGCAAAAUUCCAAAUCAUUGCUCUGUUUUUUGUUUGUUCUCAAAAAAAAAAAAAGGCCUAGAAAUGCCUUUUUAUUUUUAUUUUUUAAUUUUUUUGGAAGCUACAGUAGGAAACCUUAAUUAUCCAUUGAACCCUUAAAGAACCCUGAAGAAUCUAGAAGAAAACUGACUGAAUACUAAACCCCUGACUGGAUUGGUGCAUUAAGUAGAAAAUAAUAUAGCACAAUGUGGAGUUUGUACCACAAUCUUACCUCGUUAUUACAUACAGUACACGCGCUCUGAGAAACAAAGGGUUCCUCGGGGGUUCUUUCAGGGUUUAAUGGAAAAUUAAGGGCUCUGUUUUCUUCUUUUGUUUUGUUUUUUGUUUUUUUUUAGAUGUUAGUGAGUUUGUAAAGUGAAACUCACACAUUAGUGCGAGUUGUACUUCUGUAGCACUCACGCUACACUGAUGUGUUCAAAACAAAUAGAAUUGUGCCUGUAAGAGAAUAAGAUAAACACUGGAUUUAUGACUGAAGCGUAAAAUCCAAAAAGUCCAUGUAAAUUUACAACAAUGAAUUGUUUAUUCUGUCAUUUUUGACAAAUGAAAACUUUUUUUUUUGUGGCAGAUCGCAUGCUUUAGAAAAUGUAGGUGUUUUGUAAACGUUUUCAUUUUAAUAUGUAAUAGUUCAUUUUAACAUAGGGUUAGGGUUAGGGUUAGGUUUAGGGUCUAACACUAACCCUAACCCAGCACGUCUGUAUUACAUAGGAAAAAAACACACUCACUAUGUACGUGAGGUAAAACAUCACCUCAUUAUAGCGUCAUGUAUGAUUGCACACCCCUAUAUUUUGCUUGCCUGGAAACCUAAUUUUUUUAUCGAAUCAUUUAAGGAUCGCUAGUUAAGUGCAUUAAUACAGAGUAAAGAAAUAAAUGUUGUGUUCAAAACAAACGUACAGUUUUAUGCAAAAGUUUGGGCACUCCUGGGCAAAUUCAGUAAUUGAGGCAUGUCGCAAAAGUUCCGCUUGUAAGGUCUCAGAACUUGAGCUUGUUAGGCCUUAAUUAUCUGAUUGGGAUUAACUGUUAGCCAGGUCGAGACUUGUCAUUAGUAAUAACAAUUCCGUCGUCAUAACUCUUCAAACUACCCCGGGCUCCUCUAAGCAGCUGACUGAGCACCUGAAAAUCAAGCUAUUUUAGUUGAAGCCUACAAAACGGAGGAAGGCUAUAAAAUGUUUCUAGCUGAAAUGUCAUUAAUAAAUGGCGGUUAAGAAGAACUUUCGAAGUCAAAGUAAGAGUUGGAAGACUAAAAAAAAAUUCAAAUAAAACUCAGAUAAAACUGCCAAUAUGCAAAUCCUCCAAUGGCAAUAAAGACUUGCACGAAGGUUUAUCUGACCCAGGAGUGGUAGUGCACAUUUCUACUCAGAUCGUAUUUUGCAGUUGUGGUAGCAAAAUAUGAUCUGAAUGGAAGAGUUUUCAGAAUGAAACCUUGCCUCUGAUCUCAUCACAAAUAUCAAUCUCGGAGGUAUGCAGAAAAGAAAGCCCAAUGCAUUUUGGAAACAAGUCCUAUAGACUGAUGAAGUAAAAAUAGAAGUAUUUGGCCACAGUGACUAAAACGGUGGAUCGGUUAUGCUUAGGGGUUGUGUGGCAGCCAGCGGAAUAGGAAACAUUGCACAAGUAGAAGGAAGAAUGGAUUCCAGUAAAUUCCAGCUAAUUCUGGAAUGAAAUGUGACACAAUCAGUAAUGUCACUGAAUCUGAAAAGAGACUGACUUCUAUAACAGGACAAAACAUGCUUCAAAAUCCACCAUUUCAGACAAAAGGAAGACUUUUAACCUGUAAACAGGAUAUAGCAGACCACCUGUCUUAGAAAGUGUAGUGUAGGUGUUAUAAAAACAUAAAAGUGUGUCUGCACUCAUAAAUAGCUUCUCCACCCACAAUGACUGGUAACACACACACACACACACACACACACACACACACACACACACACAGGCAGGCCUCCUCUAACUGUGUGACCAAAAACCACCAAGUGCACAAGGUUCAAUAAGAGACCAGUGUUUACACUGGAUUAUGCAAGAUCUUUCCAACCUUCUUGGCUAAAUAAAGAGUUUUUAUUAAUAUGCCACUGAAUCUAAGCAAAAAGUUUGUUGUGCAUAAAAAUUGCAUGAAAUAAACACGAGGGAGACCAAGUAUGAUUAACAUGUAAGUUUAUUGAGGUUCACAGACUAAGUAUGAACAGCAUGUAAUUUUAUUGAGAAUUCACAGGGCAGGUGGGAGUGUAAUCCUGAGGGGAGCGGUAGGAAGAAAACGGGUGAUAAAAUGGGGUGCGUCCUAGGGACGUGGGGUAGCCAGCCGAGGUGUACUGAGGAGAGUACUCGGACUGGCAGGUGAGAAAAGGGGAGAAUGGUCGGAGCCCAGAUCAGAGAAGGUGACAUCAUCCUCAGACUGAAAGCUGGAGGGAGGGUCAGGCAGAGGGUCUAUCUGUGUAGCGGCGUCAAUACACACAAUAGCAGGGCGGAUUCUAGUAUCUGAGAGGUGUAGGGAACCCCGCGUUUCCAGAGGGGGUGCGAAGAACGUCAAGUAGCACCGUGAUGUCAGCAGUGAGAUGCGCGAGCUGAUAGAGAGUGUUCAGAUCCAAAUCCAGCCCCUCCAGUAAAGGAGAGAAGGAAAAGUGACAGGCAUCUAGACACACAGAAGCGAAUAAACGGUAUUAGGCGGAUAUUGAUGAAUUGGAUUCACACUUUAAGAUUAACACUAUGAUUUAUUAUUUACAGAGAAAUAUAAGAGCUGAGCAGUGCAGGCUGAGAAACGCACACACACACAGAGGCAUACACUCUCACACAGUCAACGUCAGGCAUGCAGACAUAACACACACACACAGAGGCCUAUGCCGCCACGCACACACAUACAGAAGGAAAGCAGAACAUUAUAACUUUAUAAGAAUAAUAAAAGGAGUAUUAAGAUAUUAUAAGGAUAAUAUAAGGAGUAGUAGGAUA